GAUGAACGCUGGCGGCGUACCUAAUACAUGCAAGUCGAGCGAACAGACGAGGAGCUUGCUCCUCUGACGUUAGCGGCGGACGGGUGAGUAACACGUGGAUAACCUACCUAUAAGACUGGGAUAACUUCGGGAAACCGGAGCUAAUACCGGAUAAUAUAUUGAACCACAUGGUUCAAUAGUGAAAGACGGUUUUGCUGUCACUUAUAGAUGGAUCCGCGCCGCAUUAGCUAGUUGGUAAGGUAACGGCUUACCAAGGCAACGAUGCGUAGCCGACCUGAGAGGGUGAUCGGCCACACUGGAACUGAGACACGGUCCAGACUCCUACGGGAGGCAGCAGUAGGGAAUCUUCCGCAAUGGGCGAAAGCCUGACGGAGCAACGCCGCGUGAGUGAUGAAGGUCUUCGGAUCGUAAAACUCUGUUAUUAGGGAAGAACAAAUGUGUAAGUAACUAUGCACGUCUUGACGGUACCUAAUCAGAAAGCCACGGCUAACUACGUG
rnacentral:rRNA from 1 species